AAGGUCAUUGUCAUUGUUUGGGUUAGCAAAGUCAAGGGUAUCUCUUUAGAAACUGAAAGCCUUGGAAGGCACUCCUAUAUUGAGAGAACCAAGAAGGGUAGAUUAAACUGAUGUCUGUGCGUUGGUUUUUUCUCCCUAAUCAUGCACAAAUGAGGUACAGGAGCAAUGCUUGCUUUUCGAUUUCUGGAAAAUUUCGAAACAGGUGCAUGUAGAGUCGUUAUCCUCCUUCCCUUUGUGAGGAUUUGAGGCUAGAGCGAGAGUUGUUGUUGUUGUGAUUAGUGAGCGAGAGAGAAGAUAGAGAGUUGAAUAAGAUAUAUUGGUUGGAUAGGUAGCAGAAGAGGCAAUAAAGUUAAAUAGGGGGAAAUUGAAAGAGUAGAGGAACUGCAAUAUUGUCAGUACUUGUUAUCGUUCCUGCCUGUUUCGUUACAUCUUCCUUGAAAUGACCUUUCCCAGAUUCUCUUUUUGGAUCCGCCCCUGCUACAAACGUGUUGUUAAGGUCACUACAGAAAAUGGCAAGUUUAAGCCGAGCAAAUUCUUGCCAAGGCCUAUUUCUUAAGUAACCUGUGUCGCUGGGGAUAUAGAAAGCGCGGAACAUUUUUUAACUUUAGUUAUAAUUGGCCAUAUAAAAACACAGCGGAAUAUUACUUUAUUUUGGUCGGCUACUGAAAUUUCAAAUUAUGAAGGAAUUCAACAUAUCUACGGGAAGCUCUUACAAGAUUUCGUAUUUUCAAUUGCUGAUUUGUGUGGUGAAAUCCUUGAUAGGCAUACGAAAUUGCACAAACAAACGUUGUUUAAGCAAAUAGUUAAAGCACCCAAGAUAAAAGAAAUACACAACAAAGCAAGGAUCAGAGCAUGUUUAGAAAUGAAACGACCGGUCGAAUAAAUAUUCAGAGUUUAAGCCCGUGCGGUCGUUUCUACUUUUAGAAAAAACUGGCGACUAAAAGAUUAAAGAUCUUGAGACUUUUGUUCCUCUGAAACUAAACGAACUAUGACAGCAAAUGAUUCCGAAAAAUUUGACUUGCAUACAUGAAAACGAAAAACAAAAUACAAUGGAUCAAAAAUAAAGGAGGAGGCUCUCUGGGAACUUUAGCGAAGACCCGCGCAUGGGUACAUGCCUAACAUACCAACUUUUAAAUCGUUUGUUUUCAAGUGAUCAUUUGGUAGUAAAUGUAUUUCCAGGCUUCUAGAAGCAACUUGUGAAUAUAGCUUGUUUGGCAAUCUCCCUAAAUAAGAGACAGGCUUAUAGACAUCGAGAAAUGGUGGUUGGUAUUGCGUGCUCCAGGAAAAAGAACAGAGCCACAUAUAGCAGCAAUGAACUUUAUUUCAGGUUAACGAUUACCCUCUCUAGCAAGCAUAGACUAUUUGCUUCUUCUCUGAAUACUAAUAUUGCUAACUAUAGUAGAGCUUUCUGGUUUUCAAAAAACUUUUACGCGCCAAAUCUACUUGAUAAUAUGGACUUAGUAAUGAUUGCAAAGGGAUGAUAUGGUAUAAAUACUCAUAAUUACAAGCAGCUGAUCAGAAUGGCUCAACCCUUCAAGCUGAGCAACUGGUGUUAUUCUAGUUGUCACUGUUGAAAUAAUAUGGUCCUUGGAUGCAAGGGUCUUCGGAUAUUGGGAUUGCCUCAAUAUGACUGCAAGGUAGGCCUGGUUGAAAUACAUACACGAUUGUGGAGUAUGGAAUAGUAAGGGUGAACGCUUCAAACAAGUCAAAAACGCCAUUGACAUUCACAUCCGAAAGAAAGCAAAGAGGGAACCCUUUGCAGCCAGAGAGCAAAACACUCAAAUUUUGGCUUAGAAGACGUCAUUAAUUCGAAAUGACUGGCAACCAGCAGAAAAAUCUAACCUUUUGUUGACACCUGGCCUACUAUGAACAAAUCGUGCAAGAGAAGGGGUUUGGCAAAACUAUAUGGCAGUAAUGUAAUUUAAAGGCGAAUGAGGAAGGCUACUGGACCACACGUACACAAAAUAGAACAGAUCUAGUUAUUUACCAUAAUAGAAAAGGUUGGUAGAAUAACAGGCAGAGCAAGGCUGGCUGAAAGAGAACGAUUCAUUGCAUUUUUGAAAGGGCAUUAGCUUCGUAGGAGUUGUGUUGUUUUACGAAAUCGGAUUGUGGUGUGUAUUUUACGAUCACUGUUCAGGAAAGCUUUCUUUACAAAAACCAACAAUGCCUGGACAACUGCCGUGCAAAUCUCAGCCUAAACCGACUAAAAACAACAUGAGGAAAUCAUUCACAGCAUACGGACACCAGAAAAAUAAAAAACUUGGGAGAAAGAUAAUGAAUCCGCACGUGCAGUUCUAGUAAAAGCUGGGAGUAGUGGAUUUGUGCGGAAGUAGCUAACUGCGUAAAAAGGUUGUAUUGAACCACGCCCUAAUGAAAAACAAUCUAUUACUUUAAUUGAAAAUUAAUAAACCAAAGACAAACAUGAUUCAUAGAAAAACACUACGUUUUAUUAUCGAUUCAGAGAGAUCAUUGAGAAAAUCAACUGUGUUUUUAUCUAUUCUGGUGUCGUCCUAUUUUGGUACAGGUCCUUUGCUUCAGUGUCUCCUUCCUAGGGGUCUUCAGAAGGACAGAAAAAAACAAACAAGGGAAUAUUUUGAGUUGUGAUCUAAAAGUUUGGGAUGGAAGUGGGCGCUGUGAAGAAGGGAAAUCGUUAUUUUUAGCUUAGCAUGUAAUUCUGUUGAGAGGAAUGAGGAUAAAUAUAAAAAGGAUAGCAAAAGCAUAACGACAGAAAAUGCCGCGUGGAUGACCAUUAAGAAAAAGAGGUUAAUGUCAUUAAAAUAUAUGCAUUGAAUCAGGUCAUAAUCAUAAUCAUAAUGAAGAAAGACAUCCCUAUCCAUAGUACGAAGUUGUGAAGUAGCUAACAAGAAAGAAAAAUAUGUUUGCUAAUGACGUCACAACCAACACAACAGAUUAGAAUACUCAAUGUAGUUUCUGGCUGUAUUUGAUGCAGUGACAAAGAUUUCUAGAAAGAUAACCAGAAAGCAGGAGUGAAAACAUACACACAAAAUAGGUAUUGAUAAGUAUAACAGAGAAAGAGGUAUUGAAAGGAAAUCCAAGAGUCACAGCACUACGAUGCUAAGAUUGUCAAGGGAUUCAAAAUGCAAGCACAAUGCACAAAGGAAUUACAUCGACAAGGGAAAUCAUUCUUGCUCCGUACUGGCUCAUAAAUAAGAUCAAGAUCAGAAGUGACAACAAAUACCACGUGAUAACCACGUGUAAUAACGUGUAAUAACCACGUGAUUACAUAACAGAAAUAACACAGGUUUGUUAGAAGAUUUCAAAACUAAGGAUUGUGAGAAUGCAGUCUAGGAUCAGAUUCAUAGUUCAAGUAACAUGGCGAUUUACAUCGUCUAGGACAUUUGCACCCGAAAUGAAAGAUAAUCUGUAGAAGGAAUCUAGAAAAUUCAAUUUUACUUCAAUGUUGCCUGGAAAACACGUCAACAGCUACUGGUUUGCGAUUAAAAUAUUGGAUUAUUUAUAAUCUUGUUCAACUAGGCUCCUCUUAAUGUCUAAAAAAUAGAAACAAGUCGAAACAUCGUGUUUUUAUCCCAAUAGCGUCACCGAUUAUGCCAAAAUUCAUCGUGUGUAUGGUUGAAGAAUGUAAACUGAAAAACUGGAAAGGAAAUAUGUUGGUAGGAUAAAAGACCAAAUAUCAUAUAAGAUUGAUAGCAGAUAUAAUGAGUUUAAUUUAAGAGCACACUUUUCUACCGCUAAAUGACAUCGCUUGUACACUCGGAUCGUUUUCUCCUAUGACAGAAACUACUUAAACAAUAACUGUCUAUAAGAAACACAAUUAAAUGAUUAGGUGUCUUAGACGAAGUAUGCAGUAAUUUAUUUGAUCACGUAUUUUUCAAGUUUAAAAAUCAUUUGUUAAGUACCACCACUUGAUUUAAACGGUGAAUUCUUAGAGUUGUUGAAGGAUGGAGCAUGGUGGGGUGUGGUUGCUCCCGUUCAGAUUGACGUAAUCAAAUAGGGUAUUAGGGACGUAUAAAGCAACAAAAAUGCAUAUAAUACACGUUUGGGGCUUCAAAGACGCAGGCUACGAUGAAAUGAAAAUAUCAAUCAUGGUUGAAAUUCUGAUAUAAAACUUUGGAUGAAAUGAAGCCGUUUCUUUGUAAAAUUCACCCCCAGAGCAUAAGGCAAAUGGUCCUAAACAGUCGCCAUUAUAAGCAGCGGAUCUGUUUUUACGGGCUUUUCAAAAGAAUUACAAAUAUGUGACCAUUUUCCCAUUCCAAGUAAUUUUUUUGCUUUAAAUGAUAGGUUGCCAAUAAAAACGGCUCUAAUUUAUCUGUUUAAAAAUAAACCGUAAAAGGGCUUUAAGAACGAAAGCGUUGCUAUGGAUCCGAAACUAUUUAAUCGGCUAAGCAGGGCAAAGAACACCCAUUUUACCUUCUUUAAAUUUUCAUCGAUUUUCCACAAUUUUAAGCCUCUUAGCGCCGUUCUUUCCACAUACAAUGUUUCAACUGAUGACGUAACUGUUGCUAUCGGAUACAAGAUGUUUAAAAAAAACAAAAAAUCUCUUUAGAAGCUCAUUUCAAUUUAUCAAGGGAUAAUAGGACAGAUUUUCAUGAUAGUUUACGCUGGAGGAGUAUCUUAGGUUGAACAGAGUUUUUGAUUUUGAAUACAAGGCCCGAAUUUAAGAGGCUUUGAUGCUUGCAUUUACUAUUUUGAAAACUUGGUCUACGUCAAAAAAUCUACAAAAAUCAACAAUUUUAUUCCAAAAAGAUCAAAAGGUCUUCCCGAUUCUCAAGAGAACACAUUUCGGCAAGUCUUAGCAUUCCAUUGGCACGCUGGAAAGUCUGGGAAAAAAGUUCACAAAGGGAAAACACGAUUCGAAAUCUAUAGAGAAUUGGUUCUUUAGAAAUAUUUUGGAGAACAAACACUCUCCUGGGAAUUUGUUUCGGACAAAAGGGAAUUUAGAUAAAAAUGUAGGCA